GGCAUGUGGUGGCCUAAAGUCACUGGGCUGAAGUAAUGGGCCCAAGGGCACUCAGGAGAGAUUAGAAGUCAACAUUCGACAGAAGUCUACAAUAGAAGUCUACAUUUCAGUUUGAACAGCAGUCUGCAGACUUCUACUCUGUCUUUGAUAGAUACGCCUUUGUCCUACACCUAGCCUCAAUGAGAUCUUUGGUGCGGCAUGAUGUUUCAGAUGACUUCAGAUGGACGAUCAUGAAAGCAAGCUGUAACGCAGCGUGUGUGAUGUCACCCCUCUCACCCUCACCCUCACCCCCUGGAUCCCCCUCCCUAGGCACAACUUUUGGGCCCUCAGACAGCAAUAACUCCAUAGUCUAAAAGGCAGGAAAUGGGGGUUUAGAUAUACUUUAUUAGGGACACAAAAUGCACCACAGUAUAGUGUGGGGAGGUAUGUUAAGGGGGCCGCUGUGGUGAAGCACAGUGCUAAUUCAACACGUAGAGAGUUGGUCCAGCACUAAGAAUGGUAAUGUCAACUCUCUAGGAGCUGAAUUCACACUGCUCAUUUACUGUGUGGCAAUGUGGGGGGAACGCAGAUAUCAUUUCAGUCAUCAGAUUUUUGGGCCCUUUUUUAUGUUUUAUUAGUCGGCUUUUUAAUUGAGCUCUCUCGCUUCCUUGCUUUUGCUUUGACAUUUACAGCAUUUCUACGCCUGUAAUUAUUUAAUGAGCGCUUUUGUUAACAUGUGUUGUGUUGCAGAGUCAUGGCCAACAGUAUGAUAUAA